rnacentral:rRNA from 1 species
UACGAAGGGGGCUAGCGUUGUUCGGAAUUACUGGGCGUAAAGCGCACGUAGGCGGAUAUUUAAGUCAGGGGUGAAAUCCCAGAGCUCAACUCUGGAACUGCCUUUGAUACUGGGUAUCUUGAGUAUGGAAGAGGUAAGUGGAAUUGCGAGUGUAGAGGUGAAAUUCGUAGAUAUUCGCAGGAACACCAGUGGCGAAGGCGGCUUACUGGUCCAUAACUGACGCUGAGGUGGCGAAAGCGUGGGGA